rnacentral:rRNA from 1 species
CGAGUCGGCCAGCGCGGAAGAUGUAACGGGGCAAAACCAAGCAACGAAUCAGCGGAAGCGACACUAUGAGUUCUUGCGAAGCGGAGAGUACUGUAAGCAUGCGAACGUGACCUGAGAGGGUUGCUGGAUGUAUCAGAAUUGACAAUGAACAAAUAAGUAACGAUAAAGAGGGUGAAAAGCCCGAUAGCCGGAAGACCAAGUGUACCUGUCAAACGUUAAUAGGUUCAGGGUGAGUCGACACCUAAGU